AUACGGGGGGGGCAAGCGUUGUUCGGAAUUACUGGGCGUAAAGGGCUCGUAGGCGGCCAACUAAGUCAGACGUGAAAUCCCUCGGCUUAACCGGGGAACUGCGUCUGAGACUGGAUGGCUCGAGUGUGGGAGAGGGAUGCGGAAUUCCAGGUGUAGCGGUGAAAUGCGUAGAUAUCUGGAGGAACAUCGGUGGCGAAGGCGGCAUCCUGGACCAUGACUGACGCUGAGGAGCGAAAGCCAGGGGAGCAAACGGGA
rnacentral:rRNA from 1 species